CCUCUUCCGCGCGCUCCUCCGAGGUGCCCGCGCGGCGACGCCCCGGGCGGCGAAAGAGCUGACGCGGCGAUGAAAAUCUGUAGACACCGAAGCCCGGCUUGAGUAGCUGGGUCUCUGUGGCGCAAUCGGUUAGCGCGUUCGGCUGUUAACCGAAAGGUUGGUGGUUCGAGCCCACCCAGGGACGACAGCGUGUGUUUUCCUCCCGAAUUCAUUUUAAAAUUGCACCCUUGAGAUUUUUAAUUAAAAUAGGAGUACGACACUGCCGUGUUUCUAGGACAGAGGAAGACAACGUCCUCCUAAUACUAUUUGAUGCCUAACGCAGUGGAUCAAAGAAUGACACUGCUUCUGGACUGGCAGCCCAUUCUUUCCUAAUUCUGGUCCUACCGAAUAUGGGGGAAAUGUGCACACAUGCUUCAGGAGACCAGCACAGCAUCGUUCGCCCACAGCAGAACUUGCAAUGGCAAAAACAAACAGGCAACACUCAAUUGCCAUUGACAGGUGAAUAAACAAAUACCACUGGUUUCUCUCAGAAAAUCCGACACCACCAAAAAACAAAUAUAGUUAUUCAGCAUUGCCUGAUCUGCAGCCAAAAGGAUUUGAGGAGCCCAGCAGAUGCAAACAUGCAAGAGGAGUCAUCUCAUGGUAUGGGGAGGCACGACCAUCCUAAGAAACUUUGCUAAUUAAGCUGUGUUACAGCUUUUGGACCAAGGACUUGAAUCUAGGACACCCAGGCUCGUGCAUAAGCAUAUCAGGACCUCUACCAUCUUAAAAACAUUCACAGAAACCUAGAUCUGACAUCCCCUCGCCGGGUGCCAGUCAUGCCGAGUGCCCUCAAGACUUUUGUUCUUCCUGGAAUGCCCUUCGUCUACGCAGUCACACGGCCAACUCCCUAACUUGACUGAAGUACCUGCUCAAAAGUCACCCACCUCCAAGCAACCUUCCAAGUUCACUCAGUCUGAAACAAGACCUCCCAGUCACUCACCCACUUUUCUCCAUAGCAUUUAGUGCCAUCUGACAUUCGUCAACCUCAUUAUUUAAAGACUCUGUACUUGUGAAUUUUCCCAUUUGCAAGUGUAUUUGUAAUCCAAAAAUCAGUAUGCACAGUGGUUUUGUUUCCAUUUACAGACAUGUGCAUAGCAGUGGAAAAUCUGAGUCCCUUGCAGCACAUUUGGUCCAUGUCACAAGGUCCUUGGUAUCUGCUAUGGACCAUUUGGCAUGGGCCAAACAUGCUCACUUGACAUUUUGGAUAGGACCAAAUUUCAAGGACUGCUGGCGUGGACCAAAUGUCUUAUGGGCUUUUUUGUGCUUUUUGUUGGUUAUUUCACUGUUUAAAAUGGCCCCUAAGUAUGUGCUCCAGUGCUGUCUAAUGUUCCUAAGAGCAAGAAAGGUGUGAUGUGCUGCGUGGAGAAAAUUCGUGUGUUGGAUAAGCUUCAUUCCGAGCAUGAAUUACACUGCUGCUGGCCCUGUACUCAAUGUUAAUGAAGCAACAAUUUAUACUACGUGAGGUGUCUGUAAACAGAAACACACAAUAAACAUCUGAUUGGGCGACAAAGAUGCUGUGCCCAGAGGCUCCCGGAAACCUAAUUCUGUAUUUCCAUUAGGAGCAGUGGUUCAGUAUUUGCUAAUUCAGCAUUCAUGGCAACUUUCAGAACUAUCAAAAAUGACAAGAGUCGACCAUAUAUAUUCCCUGUUACCACCUACCAUUUUAUAUUUACCUCCCUGUUUAGAAGGUAAAUUACCAAAAGGCAAGGAUUUCCUUUUUUCCCACUGUCUUGUCACUGAGGUUUACAACAGUACUUGGCACUCAGCAGAAAUCUAGAAAUAGAGUGAAUAAUAACAAAUAAAAGAUAAAUACACAAUUCCUCAAAGAAACUCAACUGGCCAAUAAAGUUAUAGAAAAUAUUCAAUAUCACUAAUAAUCAUGAACGUAACCAGUAACAGCCAAAGUUUUUCCGCCUCUUCAAUGCUACUACCUAGUGUUGGCGAGGGUUUAGCAAAGCCAUUAAAGCUAUCAAUAAAAGACUAUUAAAAAGUCUAUUCGGGGAGUUCCCGUCGUGGCGCAGUGGUUAACGAAUACGACUAGGAACCAUGAGGUUGCGGGUUCGGUCCCUGCGCUUGCUCAGUGGGUUAACGAUCCGGCGUUGCCGUGAGCUGUGGUGUAGGUUGCAGACGCAGCUCGGAUCCUGCAUUGCUGUGGCUCUGGUGUAGGCCAGAGGCUACAGCUCCGAUUGGACCCCUAGCCUGGGAACCUCCAUAUGCUGCAGGAGCGGCCCAAGAAAUGGCAAAAAGACCAAAAAAAAAAAAAAAAAAAGUCUAUUUGGUAUAGCAGAAAUUGGCACAACACUAUAAAUCAAUUACACUUUAAUUUUUCAAAAAGUUGGGGAAAAAAAAAAACGACUAUAAAAAAGUGCAUGUUCUUUGACCCAGCAAUUCCACUCCCAGAAAAUAAAAGCUGAUCUACAGAAAAUGUUAUCAAUAAGGGAAAUUAACACUUGACAACAACAAAACAGUAGAAAUCACCUCAAAAUCUAAAUUGGUAAAACAAUGGUAAUACACACUAUGUAACACAAAAGUUGUCCAAAACUAAGACAGAAAAAUGCUCAUUAAAUAUUAAGUAAACACAGAUCACAC